rnacentral:lncRNA from 1 species
UCUCCCUCCCUCCCUCUCUCUAUCUACCUCUACCUCUGUCUCUACCUCUUACCCACUCAAAAAUGAGAUCAACAAGUGAGAGUUCACUUAGAUCUAUGUAUUUCAAAGAGGAAGAGUCAUGUAUUAAUUCUUUUUGUCUCCUUUGUCUCUGUCUCUCUUUAUCUCUCUCUCACUCUCUACCUCUUCCUCUCUCAAAGAUGAAAUCAACAAGUGAGGGUUCAUGUUUGAAUGUGAAUCAAUAUUUACUUUAUAAUUAUUACAGGGGUUAUUAAUUUGGAGUUUAUAAAUACUACAAAACUGAUGGUAAAUCCAGCCAAGCCUGGUGACCUUGAAGCCAAUAAUUCAAUUUUUUUGGUCUAUUUCAAAAAUUGACUCUUCGUAAAAGGCCUGCUGACUUUUGGUCAGCAGGCCUUAUAUAGAAACUUUGCGAAAACUUUUGGUCAAACCCUGAGACUUGCUGAGCCGUUGGCCCAGCUAAGGUCAAUCAUGCCGUCAGCCUUUGCUAGGCACAGCUUCACCAGAAUAAAUUUCACUCCUGAGAGAGACUUGAAUAAAAAACGGGUUUAUCACAAAACUAACUUUGACUAAUCUGGUUGUGGUAUUUUUCUCUAUUUAAUCAAUAUAGGUAUAUGUAGAGAGUGGAAAAGAGAGAGAGCUGGGAAGGCAUCUUCACUGAUGUCCCUCACUCUAUCCCCAAUAGCCCUUCUUCACGGUGACAGUGAUCAUGUUCAUUCUGAUUGAUGAUGAUGACAUGACGAAACCACAUCAAAAUAAUGCAAAGUUGACCUAGGUGUGAACGACUACCUUCGUGGCAAACUCCAGCCGCUUAAGCUCCGCCAUGCCAGGAGUUCCAUGGCGAGCUCCCGGUUCUCUCCGGCUAGUCAGGUUUUCACUCAGAUGUAGAAAAGGAAGAGCCGACAGGAAACU